ACGGAGAUAUACCGUUCGUAUAUAUGUAUACACACACACACACAUAUAUAUAUAUCAAUAUAUAUAAGAAGGUGAAUGAUUUUGAUUUUGGAGAAAAGAUUCGAGUUCAUAGAUAUAUAAGAAAUAUAUAUCAGAAAGUGAUUGAUUUCGAAUUUGAGAAAAAGAUUAGAGUCCAUGGAUGUAUCGUCAAUGAGUUUCAGAUCUACCAUCCGUACUGUUGGAAGUCAAUCAAGGUAUGUCUAAUUAAACUAUAUUUCUACCAUCCGUACUCAUAGAUUUAUGUUUAAAAUCAUGCUCACAAACUGUUUGUAUAAAUGUCUAAGUGAAUUUUGUUUGAUGAUUUGAUCCGAUAUAUGAGUUUGUGGAAGAAUGAAAUGUAAAGGAAGAAGUUUGAUCCGUUAAAUGAGAUGAUGAUGAUGUUGAUAAGUAGCAGGAAGAAUCAAAACAUACAUCAAGAAAAUCACUUUUGGAUUGCUAAGCCAGCACCUGAUCCUUACCUAAAGGCUACUGAGGUUCUUAACGUGUCAAAAGGAACACGCCUUUAUCUGUGAGGUAUUGAUUUUCUUUCUCCAUCAGGUAUUGAUCUGUUUUGUAACUCUUGAUGUCAAAGUUACAUCAAGCUUACACAACUUGAGCAUGAGCUUAAGUUUGAGGAAGCUUAUACAACAUGAGCACGCAAGCAGAUGAGAGUUAUUUGUUAGUUAACUUUUAUGAUUCCAAAAUCACUAUAAUGGACAAAAACUUGGUGCGAAAGAAACUUUGGUGAUAAUAUUCGACACACUAGAGCAAGAUGAUGCUGCAAAGGGUCGUAUUCAAGCUUCUGGGAUUGGUGAAACAAAAGUUUUGUAGAAAUGUUCCUAUUGUCUUUAAUGUCAAGUGAUAGAAGAUAUGUUGGCUACAAAUGGCUGAAUUUGUAUUUAUCAAGUUUUUAAGUUUUAGAACUUAACAAAUUUAUUUUUUUUGUUAAUUAUUGAUGGUUAGUAUAUAUGGAGCAAUGGUUGGUCAUAGUGUAUUAGUCAAAUAUAAAGGGUAAUGUAUUCAUUUUAACCAAUUAGAGCAAUGGUCUUAUUAGAUGGGA